UAGACCCGAAACCGGGUGAUCUAGCCAUGGGCAGGUUGAAGGUUGAGUAACAUCAACUGGAGGACCGAACCGACUAAUGUUGAAAAAUUAGCGGAUGACUUGUGGCUAGGGGUGAAAGGCCAAUCAAACUCGGAGAUAGCUGGUUCUCCCCGAAAGCUAUUUAGGUAGCGCCUCGGACGAAUACUACUGGGGGUAGAGCACUGUUAAGGCUAGGGGGUCAUCCCGACUUACCAACCCUUUGCAAACUCCGAAUACCAGUAAGUACUAUCCGGGAGACACACGGCGGGUGCUAACGUCCGUCGUGGAGAGGGAAACAACCCAGACCGCCAGCUAAGGUCCCAAAGUAUUGCUAAGUGGGAAACGAUGUGGGAAGGCUCAGACAGCUAGGAUGUUGGCUUAGAAGCAGCCAUCAUUUAAAGAAAGCGUAAUAGCUCACUAGUCGAGUCGGCCUGCGCGGAAGAUGUAACGGGGCUAAGCAAUACACCGAAGCUGCGGCAAUAUCUUUUAGAUAUUGGGUAGGGGAGCGUUCUGUAAGCCGUUGAAGGUGAAUCGUAAGGUUUGCUGGAGGUAUCAGAAGUGCGAAUGCUGACAUGAGUAACGACAAAGGGGGUGAAAAACCUCCUCGCCGGAAGACCAAGGGUUCCUGUCCAACGUUAAUCGGGGCAGGGUGAGUCGACCCCUAAGGUGAGGCCGAAAGGCGUAAUCGAUGGGAAACGGGUUAAUAUUCCCGUACUUCUGACUAUUGCGAUGGGGGGACGGAGAAGGCUAGGUGGGCCAGGCGACGGUUGUCCUGGUUCAAGUGCGUAGGCUUGAGAGUUAGGUAAAUCCGGCUCUCUCUAAGGCUGAGACACGACGUCGAGCUGCUACGGCAGUGAAGUCAUUGAUGCCAUGCUUCCAGGAAAAGCCUCUAAGCUUCAGAUAGUCAGGAAUCGUACCCCAAACCGACACAGGUGGUCGGGUAGAGAAUACCAAGGCGCUUGAGAGAACUCGGGUGAAGGAACUAGGCAAAAUGGUACCGUAACUUCGGGAGAAGGUACGCUCUUGAUGGUGAAGUCCCUCGCGGAUGGAGCUGACGAGAGUCGCAGAUACCAGGUGGCUGCAACUGUUUAUUAAAAACACAGCACUGUGCAAAAUCGCAAGAUGACGUAUACGGUGUGACGCCUGCCCGGUGCCGGAAGGUUAAUUGAUGGGGUUAGCGCAAGCGAAGCUCUUGAUCGAAGCCCCGGUAAACGGCGGCCGUAACUAUAACGGUCCUAAGGUAGCGAAAUUCCUUGUCGGGUAAGUUCCGACCUGCACGAAUGGCGUAAUGAUGGCCACGCUGUCUCCACCCGAGACUCAGUGAAAUUGAAAUCGCUGUGAAGAUGCAGUGUACCCGCGGCUAGACGGAAAGACCCCGUGAACCUUUACUACAGCUUGGCACUGAACAUUGAACCUACAUGUGUAGGAUAGGUGGGAGGCUAUGAAGACGUGACGCCAGUUGCGUUGGAGCCGUCCUUGAAAUACCACCCUUGUAUGUUUGAUGUUCUAACUUAGACCCAUUAUCUGGGUUGAGGACAGUGCCUGGUGGGUAGUUUGACUGGGGCGGUCUCCUCCCAAAGAGUAACGGAGGAGCACGAAGGUGGGCUAAUCACGGUUGGACAUCGUGAGGUUAGUGCAAUGGCAUAAGCCCGCUUAACUGCGAGAAUGACGGUUCGAGCAGGUGCGAAAGCAGGUCAUAGUGAUCCGGUGGUUCUGUAUGGAAGGGCCAUCGCUCAACGGAUAAAAGGUACUCCGGGGAUAACAGGCUGAUACCGCCCAAGAGUUCAUAUCGACGGCGGUGUUUGGCACCUCGAUGUCGGCUCAUCACAUCCUGGGGCUGAAGUCGGUCCCAAGGGUAUGGCUGUUCGCCAUUUAAAGUGGUACGCGAGCUGGGUUUAGAACGUCGUGAGACAGUUCGGUCCCUAUCUGCCGUGGGCGUUGGAAGAUUGAAGGGGGCUGCUCCUAGUACGAGAGGACCGGAGUGGACGAACCUCUGGUGUUCGGGUUGUGUCGCCAGACGCAUUGCCCGGUAGCUAAGUUCGGAAUUGAUAAGCGCUGAAAGCAUCUAAGCGCGAAGCGAGCCCUGAGAUGAGUCUUCCCUGA
rnacentral:rRNA from 1 species